rnacentral:rRNA from 1 species
CAUGCAAGUCGAGCGAGAACGGCUCUAUCCUUCGGGUUAGAGUGUCAGCUAAGCGGCGCACGGGUGAGUAACACGUAGCUAACUUGCCCCAUAGGGGGGAUAACGGCCCGAAAGGCCCGCUAAUACCCUAUACUCCUUCAUACGAAAGUAUGGUUGUGGAAAGCGUUUAGCGCUAUGGGAUGGGGCUGCGGCCUAUCAGGUAGUUGGUGGGGUAAAGGCCUACCAAGGCUAAGACGGGUAGCUGGUCUGAGAGGAUGGUCAGCCACACUGGAACUGAGACACGGUCCAGACUCCUACGGGAGGCAGCAGUGGGGAAUAUUGCACAAUGGGGGAAACCCUGAUGCAGCAACGCCGCGUGGAGGAUGACGCCCUUCGGGGUGUAAACUCCUUUUGACAGGGAAGAAGAUGACGGUACCUGUCGAAUAAGCACCGGCUAACUCCGUGCCAGCAGCCGCGGUAAUACGGAGGGUGCAAGCGUUACUCGGAAUCACUGGGCGUAAAGGGCGGGUAGGCGGUCUGCUAAGUUGGAUGUGAAAGCCCACAGCUUAACUGUGGAACUGCGUCUAAAACUGUCAGACUAGGGUCCGGAAGAGGCAGGUGGAAUUGGUGGUGUAGGGGUAAAAUCCGUAGAGAUCACCAGGAAUACCCAUUGCGAAGGCGACCUGCUGGGACGGUACUGACGCUGAGGCGCGAAAGCG